rnacentral:sRNA from 1 species
CGACUUCGAACUGCUGCGGGCAGAUCAUAUGAAUGUGGCUAUCGAUGCCGCCGGCGGUGAGGAUCGACCCCUCACCCGCGAUUACCUCGGUACCCGGCCCGAUAAUGAUAUCGACUUUCGGUUGCGUCGCGGGAUUGCCCGCUUUGCCGAUCUUGAAGAUGUGCCCGUCCUUGAUGCCGACGUCGGCUUUAACAAUUCCCCACCAGUCGACGAUCACGGCAUUUGUAAUCACGACGUCCACAGCGCCGCCGCGGUUGGCGAUCGACGACUGGCCCAUGCCGUCGCGGAUCA